CCUACGGGUCGCAGCAGUGAGGAAUAUUGGUCAAUGGACGCAAGUCUGCACCAGCCAUGCCGCGUGCAGGAUGACGGCUCUAUGAAUUGUAAACUUCUUUUGUACGAGUGUAAACCCCGAUACGUGUAUCGGUUUGUAUGUAUCUUACGAAUAAGGAUCGGCUACCUCCGUGCCAGCAGCCGCGGUAAUACGGAGGAUCCGAUCGUUAUCCGGAUUUAUUGGGUUUAAAGGUUUCGUAGGCGGUUUGAUAAGUUAGAGGUGAAAUGUGGGGGCUCAACCCCGAAACUGCCUCUGAGACUGUUGGACUAGAGAAUAGUUGAGGUAGGCGGAAUGUAUGGUGUAGCGGUGAAAUGCUUAGAGAUCAUACAGAACACCGAUUGCGAAGGCAGCGUACCAAGCUAUAUCUGACGUUGAGUCACGAAAGCGUGGGUAGCAAACAGGAUUAGAUACCCGGGUAGUC
rnacentral:rRNA from 1 species